rnacentral:rRNA from 1 species
AUGGAGGAUCGAGCUGAGGUUGAGAUUGUGCAGCUCCAACACGUUGAAGAAGGGCAGCCCCCGCAAGUUGUGCACGGGCUACGAAUGGUCAUAGACGGCGGCGGCGGUGGAGAAGCCGCCUCGUCAGGGCGAGGUGCCGAAGCAACAAUUCCCCGUGCAGAGUGCCAUAGGGCCAAAAUCGCCAGCGACAGAAGCCUGGUGGAGGUCAACAUCGUGGAUGCUCACCGUGGACUCCUUGAAGUUCGACGCCAUGAAGUCCAGAAGUGCAUCCGAGCGGAGCAAGAGUUGGGUGGCGAGAGCGCGGGAUUUGGUGGAAGCCAAAAUUUCGAAGCUUGCUAA